AAAAGGGUGGUUUAAAUGACUCAAGGUACCAAAUAAAAAUUGUCUCGUGUAUAAUAUGAUCAUUUUAUCCCAACUUGAUGCCACCUCUUAGAGUUGACCACAUCCCAAAAUAAUUAACGACAUAAAAUAGAGUCUUUAGAGAAGGCAUCUGCUUCACUCCAAGACAGUAAAUACAAAUUAUAUAAGCUGAAAUUUAAAACAUAGAGUCAAGGCAGGCAAAUACAAAAAACAAAGGGAUAUGUUUUGAAAAUAUUUAAUAGUAUAAAUUAAAUUAGAGAACACACAAAAUAUCAAGUAUAUAUCAUAUCAUUUGCCACACAAAUAAUCAAGAAUCAUCGAUAUAUAAUGAUAUUUCAAUUCACAACGUCAAAAAUGAGACAAUCACAAAUCAAAAUAAAAUAAGUAUAUCCUUAAACUAUAGGUGACAUUUAAUUUGGGAAAUGCUAGUUUUUUCCCACCAUGGGAAAGCUUUUUCUGACCAUUGGAUCUAAUAAAGAACACAUCUUUAUCAUGAACUCUCAGUAUCAAAUCUCCCUCACUUUUUCUCUCCACCUCCUCCCAACAACAAACUUCCUUCCACACCAUGGGUGGCACCUACUCUUCCACCACCACCACCCCCUUCCCCAAUAAAUGGAUCAACCCAAUAAAUAACCCAAUGUGCCAACUGAUGUUGAAGUGGAGGCUGCUUCUCCUGAUGCUGAUGCCUAGUGAUUCAGCUUCUUUUCUGAACAUGUUCUCGUCUAAUGAUCCAUCAGGGAGCCUCCGAAUGGAAAGGACCAUUCCAUCAUUGUAGCAGGCCUUGAAUACUAAUCCAUACCUUGUUCUGCUGAGUACAUUCUCUUCGUCGAAUUGUCUUGUGGCUUCAAUUGUUUCAGCAAGUGUGACUUUGGUGUUGAUCCAUUUAUUGGGGAAGGGGGUGGUGGUGGUGGAAGAGUAGGUGGGGAGAUUUGAUACUGAGAGUUCAUGAUAAAGAUGUGUUCUUUAUUAGAUCCAAUGGUCAGAAAAAGCUUUUCCAUGGUGGAAAAAACUAACCUUUCCCAAAUUAAAUGCCACCUAAACUCUAAUUCUUAUAACUUGUUUCCAUUAUAUUCUUCAAAGGUUUGUGCAUAUCUCUAUGGUACUACACUAUUGAUUCAUGGUAUGGUCACAUCUCUCUAGUGAUAUUGCACCACAUCAUGUGUGAUAUUUCUCUCAAGGAACCACAUGCUUCUAUACUACGGGUAUUUUUCUCUAUAGUUAUACCGUACCACGUGGUCUAUUCUCUUUAGUGAUAUUGCGCCACAUCUAGCAUAAUACAUCUCUAGUGAUAUUACAUCAUACAAAGCAAAUGAAUCAGAUACUUUUAAAUUGAAAGUAUGCUUAUUUCUAAUUAUAAUGCACCAUAUGGUCGCUUUUCUCUUGCCAUAUUGCGCCACAUCCGAUAUGAUACUUAUUUCUAGUAAUAUUGUACCAUACUAACCCUAUGAAUUAGAUACUCCUCGGACAUCACUUAGCCUUGUCAGAACAUACCUAUAUUUGUAAAAAUAAUCUCCACUUCAAGACCCCAAACAUCUACCCCUUAUCAUAUCCAUCAUCACUUACAAGCAUGUCACAAAUGUAAAAAUUAUCAAACAAUUCGAAUAAUCAAAUCCAACUAUUACGAUAAUUCAAGAGUAAAACACGGAUUUUCACAAUAGCAUGAAUGUCAAAACAUUCAAAAUAAUUUAAAUCAAUCAAGGCCUUAAUAAAGUUUCUAACUCCUUUUUUAAGCCUACAUUUCCAAAUUUUCACAUUGGACGAUUUUCACUCAAAAGACUAUGACCAUUUGUAGCGAUCCGCGAUGAUAUUGUGGAAAAUAUUGUUUUUUCCAUUCAUCACACUUAUUUUACACUCAUGAAUUUGAAAUCAUUUUCACCCGAUACCUGUUUUUUAUGCGUUUUCACAUGCUAAUCCAUGUCCUCCCAGCAAAAAUCUAUUGGCCUGUUGGAGGAAGAGAAAAUAGCAACAUUUGUUUUUUUACAUAAUUGUUUGACACAAAAUAUAAUUUCUAUACGUUUUCCUCCAUGGAUGCAAUCUAAAAUAUGUCUCUUAUGACAUCUUCAUUUUCUUUAUAUUUCCUUAUUUUUGCUCUCUCUGUAGUAGACUAGUAACACAUGGGCCGAAAACUCAUUCAAACACACACACGCGCGCGUGCACACACAUACACACACCAAUAUUAUUUUCUCUCCUCUCUUGUUUUCCAGAAACAUGGAUGAUGAGUCAAUAAUUAGUGUUUUUGAUAUAUUAUUUGAGUCUAUUUUAUUUAGAUUUUAUAUGUUUUUAUUUCCUUUUUAGAACUAUUUUACUUCAAUUGCAAGUUAUUUAAUUUCAGGAACAAAUAUUUGAAAGAUUGAGUCUUUGAGAAAAAGAAAGGAGAUUUGGAGCUGAUUCGGGAAAAAAAUACGAAGAUUUGGUGCAAAAAUAUGAAGCCAACCAAUCAGAACGCUUGGCACGGCCACAAAUUUCCUUUUGCUGUUUUUGCUUCUUCGACAAGCUGCCUGUUUAGUUUAUUUCUGACCUAAAGCCCGUGGUUUCUUGUGGAACAUUAUAUUGAUGUAUUUCUUGGGGCUUAAGUAGUUGUAGCCUAUAAAUAGAGCAGCUAGCAAACAUAUUCAAUCAUCUUUUGUUCUUGGAAAUAAUAAGUGACAAUUGUUUCUUUGAAUAAAAGUUCAUCUUUAUUUUCUUGUUAUUUACCUUUAUGUUCUUCUUCUUCUUCUUCUCUAUGUCUUCAAUGAACGUGAGUGAGUAGACUUAUUUGUCUUGGGAUUGUUGGAUGAGUCUAAUGACCUAAUCCCUAUCAAACCAAGCCUCGAACCCUAAUUUUAUGUAAAUCUAUUUCUAAUCUAUUUGACCGUUUUUGUAAUGAAUUAACAAGUAUCAAAUCAAUAAAACGAAAGUUGAGGGUUAAUACUUGUUAAUUCAUAAUCACAAAUAUCAAGCGUAGUAUCGAAAGAUGAAGUUUUGAUAUUGGAACAAGUGAAAUUAGAUAAGGAUUGCGAAACAUGAGAAUAGUCUAGAAAAUCUUGAGACAAUAAAGUUUCGUUCUUCAAGGAUUUCAAUAGCAAUCAACCAUGAGAAUAGGCGUGGUUGCUAGCACACUCAAUGAAACCGAAAGGAGAUGUGAUAGGUUAAAGAGAAACUUGUCUUUAGAAAAUAGGUCCAACAUAAAGUUCUAGGUUUAGGGUUUGGUUUGUGAAGGGUUUGUCACCAUGACAAACCAAUAAUCUCAAGGCGCUUUUAUUAUUAUAUAUUUUUUUAAAACAACUUUUUAUAUUUUAAAAUUUCAAUCUAAUCAUUGUUUAAGAGUGAAUCAAAUUCAUAACUCCCUCUCAGAACGAUACUCUUUAUUACCACUUCGGUAAACCGUACACUUGAGGAUUUACUACAUCAAUGGACCAAUAACAUAAAUACAUAUAAUUGCUUAUUUUAUUUCCCCCACUCAAAUUAAAACAUUAUUCUCAAAAUACUUAUACUAAAGUACUAUCCUUUUAGACAAUAAUUAAAAUAAUAGAUAUGACUUCUCACUAGACUCUCAACCACCACCUUCCAACCCAAAUCCAAAUAUCUCUUUCAUGAUGUAACCUCUUAUGAUGACAAUGGUAUGCUUAGCCCUUGCAGCAACACCUUCAUCAAACCCCAUCUGGGCUCGGUCAAAACGAGCUAUAAAUGAAAUGAUUUUUUAUUCUAUUCUUACUUGUUUUAGUGCAUCAUCUGAUGGGUAAAAAGUUGGUUGUUCAACUUAAAUCAAAGUCUGUAAAGAAAUUCAUAUGGGUUUCUAUCAUAUUUGGUUUCUAGACGGUGGCAAUGAGCUUGUUAAUUAACAAUGGUUGUCUGAUUUGUUGUUGUUUUGAGUUUGUGGCUAACUUGUCAUAAUGUUUUGCAGAUAAUUUCAUCGCCAAUCAAAAACCUUUGUGGACCUCCCAGACUUUGCGGAAGUUUUCUUGGUUAUCGAAUGUUUGGUGAUUUUUGGGGUUUUAGCAGUAAGAUCUUUGGCGGGAGUGGUUGUUGUUUGUUGGGUUCUAAUUGUUCAUUCAGAUUUGGUUCUAGAUUGCAACAACGGUGAUUCACGCCAUCAUUGUUGUCAGUUAAGUCACUGUUACAUGAAAGUUUGACAAAGGACUGUUAGGCUAAAUAUCCAUGAAUACUUGUUUUUUUUUUUUUUUUUAUGCGGGUUGUUGGUGAGUAAACCUGUUUUUCAUAUCGGCGUUCGAGUUCACUCGUCCCUCUCAAGAUCUUGGUUCAAUGUUCGUAAACGGUCAUAAACCUCAUUAUUAUUUUUUUGCAAUUUGGUUUCACAAUAGUUUGCUUUCUUCAGGCUGAGAUUUGUAAUUAAUUGACCUUUAGGGCUGUUUUGUAUCACCUUUUUUGGGUUGUUAUUAUUUGUUUUACUUUAAUCUACGUAAGGUGUUGCAUAUCCAUUUGCACCCAUUUGUCUUAAAAAAAAAGACAAAUAUAACAUCGAUACAUUAAACUAAACACUAAAUCAAAUCGAAAGCAUGUGGAAACAAAACAUGAUCAAUAUUCAUACAAAGCAAGUAAAUAAUAAAUAGUAUUACGAUAUAAUUAUUUUUAAAAUAAAUAAUUAAAAUACAAUGAUAGCUAGCACUAGUUCAAAUAUUUUUGUUCACGCACUUAUAAUUUAUCUAAUUCACAUGAAAUACUGCAAUAACUAGCACACAUAUACCCAUAAAAUCACUUGAAAUGAUAACUAACGAUUAUAGGAAGAACAUAGAUAUAUGAAAAUAUGGUUUUUGGAACAUUAGAGGUGUUUUCUCAUGUGUGGUGUUUUAAUUGACAAUUUUACUUUCUUUCGUCCCAUAUUUGUAAAGUUUCCAGAUUCAUAGUCCAUAUAUGUUUUCCUUGUAAUAUAUUUAACAUGUUUUUCCUUUAAGAAUAUUUAGAUUUUUUUAUUGGUCCGAACACCCCUUAGACUCAUUAUAUAUAUUCGCAUGUAUGUAUGUCUUUGAAAAAUAUUUAACCUACUUUUAAGGCUACCAAAGAAAUUUAAAUUAGAAAAAUUUAUGAACGUGUAAAAGAAAUUAUAAGAGCAACACAAUUAGUGUGAGCAAAUAAAGUAAAAAAUUUACACAUAAUGGAGAAAUUUCAUUACCUUAACAUCUUUGAGGUGUUUACAAAAACCUUUAACACACCUCAUACUUCCAUAAAAAGCACGCCUAUAUAUUGUAUAACAAUCGCUAGCAC
rnacentral:lncRNA from 1 species